UUAAGAUAAAAAGAGUGAGUGGUGGAUGCCUUGGCGUCCAGAGCUGAUGAAGGUCGUGGCAUAGCUGCGAAAAGCUUCGGGGAGCCGCUAAGCAGGCUUUGAUCCGGAGAUGACCGAAUCGGGAAACCGGGCGGGGUUAAUACCCCGUCACCGCGUAAGCGGGAGUAACGCAGAGAACUGAAACAUCUAAGUACCUGCAGGAAGAGAAAGAAAACUCGAAUCCCCUAGUAGCGGCGAGCGAACGGGGACCAGCCUAAACCAGUACAGUGCCAAGGUUACGGCCGUUGCUGUAUUGGUGUCGUGGGACCCUACUGAGUCAACCGUAAUGGACUCAGGGAGUUACAAAGCGUUUGGUUAGGAGAACGGCAUGGGAAGGCCGGCCGCAGCGGGUGACAGCCCCGUAUCCGAAAACCAAGCGCCUCCCGUAGGGCACCCGAGUAGCGCCAGACACGAGAAACCUGGUGUGAAUCCGCGGGGACCACCCCGUAAGGCUAAUUACUCCUGGACGACCGAUAGCGUAAUAGUAGCGCGAGCGAAAGGUGAAAAGUACCCCGUUUAGGGGAGUGAAAUAGUACCUGAAACCACUUACUUACAAGCUGUCGAAGGCCUAUGGCCCCUCGGGGCAACGGCUGACGGCGUGCCUUUUGCAUAAUGAUCCGGCGAGUUACGCUGUAUGGCGAGGUUAAGGGUCUUAGGCCCGGAGCCGAAGGGAAACCGAGUGUGAAUAGCGCGAAUACAGUCAUGCGGCGUAGACCCGAGAGCGAGUGAUCUAUCCAUGGGCAGGGUGAAGCGAAUGUAACAGUCCGUGGAGGCCCGAACCGGUACAGGUUGAAAACUGUUCGGAUGACCUGUGGAUAGGAGUGAAAGGCUAAUCAAACUCGCAGAUAGCUGGUUCUCCCCGAAAUAGCUUUCGGGCUAGCGUCAGGUGAUAGUUCACGGGGGUAGAGAUACUGAUUGGGAUAGGGGCCCCUUGGGGUACCCUACCCAGCCAAACUCCGAAUACCGUGAACCUUAUCCUGGCAGUCAGACUAUGGGCGAUAAGGUCCGUGGUCGAGAGGGAAACAGCCCAGACCGCCAGCUAAGGUCCCCAAUGCAAACUAAGUGCAGAGAAGGAAGUGAAGUCUCUAAGACAGCCAGGAUGUUGGCUUAGAAGCAGCCAUCAUUUAAAGAGUGCGUAACAGCUCACUGGUCGAGAGAUUUCGCGCCGAAAAUGAACGGGGCUAAGUUUGCAACCGAAGCUGCGGCUUGUAGUCGGUCGUUGACCGGCUACAGGGGUAGGGGAGCGUUCCAACUGGGUGAAGGGUGACGGUAACGACACCUGGACGGUUUGGAAGUGAUUAUGCCGGAAUGAGUAGCGAUAAAGCAGGUGAGAAUCCUGCUCGCCGAAAACCUAAGGUUUCCUGGGCACGGUAAAUCCGCCCAGGGUUAGUCGGACCCUAAGACGAGGCCGAAAGGCGUAGUCGAUGGACGACAGGUUAAUAUUCCUGUACUGCCGAAAUCCGUUUUAACCGAUGGGGUGACGCGGGAGGAAAGGUGAUCACACUGACAGAUUAGUGUGUGUAAGCCCGAGGGUGGCACGUAGGUAAAUCCGCGUGCGGAAGCCCAGAGGUGAUGCCGGGCGCUUAUGCGCGAAGUCACUGGACUGACCGCCUAGAAAAUCCUCUAGGAAGGACUAGGUAUCCGUACCAAAACUGACACAGGUGGGUGAGGUGAGAAUCCUAAGGCGCUCGAGAGAACUGUUGUUAAGGAACUCGGCAAAUUGACCCCGUAACUUCGGGAUAAGGGGUGCCCUCCAGGGUGAAAGUCUUUUCGACUCUAGCUCCGGGGGGCCGCAGAGAAAUGGCCCAAGCGACUGUUUACUAAAAACACAGGUCUGUGCUAAGUCCUAAAGACGAUGUAUACAGACUGACGCCUGCCCAAUGCUGGAAGGUUAAGGGGAGCGGUUAGCGUAAGCGAAGCUGCGAACUGAAGCCCCAGUGAAUGGCGGCCGUAACUAUGACGGUCCUAAGGUAGCGAAGUUCCUUGUCGGGUAAGUUCCGACCCGCACGAAAGGCGUAACGAUUUG
rnacentral:rRNA from 1 species